rnacentral:rRNA from 1 species
UACGUAGGGGGCAAGCGUUGUCCGGAAUUAUUGGGCGUAAAGAGCGCGUAGGCGGUCCGAUAAGUCGGCUGUGAAAGUCAGGGGCUCAACCCUUGGAAGCCGGCCGAUACUGUCGGACUAGAGUCCGGAAGAGGCGAGUGGAAUUCCCGGUGUAGCGGUGAAAUGCGCAGAUAUCAGGAGGAACACCGGUGGCGAAGGCGCCGACUCUGGGCCGAAACUGACGCUGAGGAGCGAAAGCGUGGGGAGCGAACAGG